AUUGAACGCUGGCGGCAUGCCUUACACAUGCAAGUCGAACGGCAGCACGGGAGCAAUCCUGGUGGCGAGUGGCGAACGGGUGAGUAAAGUAUCGGAACGUGCCCAGUCGUGGGGGAUAACGUAGCGAAAGUUACGCUAAUACCGCAUACGAUCUAUGGAUGAAAGCGGGGGAUCGCAAGACCUCGCGCGAUUGGAGCGGCCGAUAUCAGAUUAGGUAGUUGGUGGGGUAAAGGCUCACCAAGCCGACGAUCUGGAGCUGGUCUGAGAGGACGACCAGCCACACUGGGACGGAGACACGGCCCAGACGCCGACGGGAGGCAGCAGUGGGGAAUUUUGGACAAUGGGCGAAAGCCUGAUCCAGCCAUGCCGCGUGCAGGAUGAAGGCCUUCGGGUUGUAAACUGCUUUUGUACGGAACGAAAAGGUUUGGCCUAAUAAGCUGAGCUCAUGACGGUACCGUAAGAAUAAGCACCGGCUAACUACGUGCCAGCCGCCGCCGUAA
rnacentral:rRNA from 1 species